CUCCCAGUGGCGUAGUUGGCUAACGCGUUCGGCUACAAUAGUUACUUUGUUACCGAAAGACCUGUUCGAUUCAUGUCUGGGAGA